CGAGUUCUNAUUAUUGAAAGGUGCUUGCAUCUUGAUUUAAUUUUGAACGAGUGGCGGACGGGUGAGUAACACGUGGGUAACCUGCCCUUAAGUGGGGGAUAACAUUUGGAAACAGAUGCUAAUACCGCAUAAAUCCAAGAACCGCAUGGUUCUUGGCUGAAAGAUGGCGUAAGCUAUCGCUUUUGGAUGGACCCGCGGCGUAUUAGCUAGUUGGUGAGGUAACGGCUCACCAAGGCAAUGAUACGUAGCCGAACUGAGAGGUUGAUCGGCCACAUUGGGACUGAGACACGGCCCAAACUCCUACGGGAGGCAGCAGUAGGGAAUCUUCCACAAUGGACGCAAGUCUGAUGGAGCAACGCCGCGUGAGUGAAGAAGGCUUUCGGGUCGUAAAACUCUGUUGUUGGAGAAGAAUGGUCGGCAGAGUAACUGUUGUCGGCGUGACGGUAUCCAACCAGAAAGCCACGGCUAACUACGUGCCAGCAGCCGCGGUAAUACGUAGGUGGCAAGCGUUAUCCGGAUUUAUUGGGCGUAAAGCGAGCGCAGGCGGUUUUUUAAGUCUGAUGUGAAAGCCCUCGGCUUAACCGAGGAAGUGCAUCGGAAACUGGGAAACUUGAGUGCAGAAGAGGACAGUGGAACUCCAUGUGUAGCGGUGAAAUGCGUAGAUAUAUGGAAGAACACCAGUGGCGAANGCGGCUGUCUGGUCUGUAACUGACGCUGANGCUCGAAAGCAUGGGUAGCGAACAGGANNAGAUACCCUGGUAGUCCAUGCCGUAAACGAUGAAUGCUAGGUGUUGGAGGGUUUCCGCCCUUCAGUGCCGCAGCUAACGCAUUAAGCAUUCCGCCUGGGGAGUACNACCGCAAGGNUGAAACUCAAAGGAAUUGACGGGGGCCCGCACAAGCGGUGNAGCAUGUGGUUUAAUUCGAAGCANCNCGAAGAACCUUACCNGGUCUUGACNUCUUUUGAUCA
rnacentral:rRNA from 1 species